GGGGCAGAGAAAGGCAAAAGGGGACUGGGAAAAGUAGGAACUUCUUUAGCAACUGUUGUGCUGGUUUUAACUGGAUGGAUGUCCCCUCAAGUCAAGCCCUGCGAAGCUCAACCACAUCCUCACAAUUUCCCGACAACUUAUUACUAAAAGCAAGCAUUUAGUCUGUCAACAAGGAAUACCAAAGAAGACCACCUGAGACCACAACAAAGCAGGACUAGAAAGGCUUCAAGAACCCAAACCACCAGUGAGUGCAAACAUAUAUGGCUCCUGGACAGGGAGGUGCCUCAGGUGAGAUUGAGUGGCUGGCAACAGUCCAGCAGUUUAACAGUUGAGGCACUGCCUCUAGUCUGUUU